GAUGAACGCUAGCGGGAGGCCUAACACAUGCAAGCCGAGCGGUAUUUGUCCUUCGGGCCAGAGAGAGCGGCGUACGGGUGCGGAACACGUGUGCAACCUGCCUUUAUCUGGGGGAUAGCCUUUCGAAAGGAAGAUUAAUACCCCAUAAUAUAUCGAAUGGCAUCAUUCGAUAUUGAAAACUCCGGUGGAUAGAGAUGGGCACGCGCAAGAUUAGAUAGUUGGUGAGGUAACGGCUCACCAAGUCAGUGAUCUUAGGGGGCCUGAGAGGGUGAUCCCCCACACUGGUACUGAGACACGGACCAGACUCCUACGGGAGGCAGCAGUGAGGAAUAUUGGACAAUGGGUGAGAGCCUGAUCCAGCCAUCCCGCGUGAAGGACUAAGGCCCUAUGGGUUGUAAACUUCUUUUAUACUGGGAUAAACCUACUUACGUGUAAGUAGCUGAAGGUACAGUAUGAAUAAGCACCGGCUAACUCCGUG
rnacentral:rRNA from 1 species